GAUGAAGAACGUAGCGAAAUGUGAUAAGUAAUGUGAAUUGCAGAAUCCAGUGAAUCAUCGAAUCUUUGAACGCACAUUGCGCCCGCCAGCAUUCUGGCGGGCAUGCCUGUUCGAGCGUCAUUUCAACCCUCGACCUCCCUUUGGGGAAGUCGGCGUUGGGGACCGGCAGCACACCGCCGGCCCUGAAAUGGAGUGGCGGCCCGUCCGCGGCGACCUCUGCGUAGUAAACCAACUCGCACCGGAACCCCGACGUGGCCACGCCGUAAAACACCCAACUUCUGAACGUUGACCUCGAAUCAGGGAGGACUACCCGCUGAACUUAAGCAUAUCAAUAAGCGGAGGA
rnacentral:misc_RNA from 1 species